rnacentral:rRNA from 1 species
GAGUUUGAUCCUGGCUCAGGACGAACGCUGGCGGCACGCCUAACACAUGCAAGUCGAACGGAGAUAUUUUGGUUUACUGAGAUAUCUUAGUGGCGGACGGGUGAGUAACACGUGAGCAACCUGCCUCUGAGAGAGGGAUAGCUUCUGGAAACGGAUGGUAAUACCUCAUAACAUAACGAAGCCGCAUGACUUUGUUAUCAAAGAUUUAUCACUCAGAGAUGGGCUCGCGUCUGAUUAGAUAGUUGGUGAGGUAACGGCCCACCAAGUCGACGAUCAGUAGCCGGACUGAGAGGUUGAACGGCCACAUUGGGACUGAGACACGGCCCAGACUCCUACGGGAGGCAGCAGUGGGGAAUAUUGCACAAUGGGGGAAACCCUGAUGCAGCGAUGCCGCGUGGAGGAAGAAGGUUUUCGGAUUGUAAACUCCUGUCUUAAAGGACGAUAAUGACGGUACUUUAGGAGGAAGCUCCGGCUAACUACGUGCCAGCAGCCGCGGUAAUACGUAGGGAGCGAGCGUUGUYCCGGAAUUACUGGGUGUAAAGGGAGCGUAGGCGGGAUGGCAARGUCAGAUGUGAAAACUAUGGGCUCAACCCAUAKACUGCWUUUGAAACUGUUGUUCUUUGARUGAARUAGAGGAAARCGGAAUUCUUGRUGUAGCGGUGAA